rnacentral:rRNA from 1 species
CCUACGGGAGGCAGCAGUGGGGGAUAUUGCACAAUGGGGGGAACCCUGAUGCAGCGACGCCGCGUGAGUGAAGAAGUAUUUCGGUAUGUAAAGCUCUAUCAGCAGGGAAGAUAAUGACAGUACCUGAAUAAGAAGCCCCGGCUAACUACGUGCCAGCAGCCGCGGUAAUACGUAGGGGGCAAGCGUUAUCCGGAUUUACUGGGUGUAAAGGGAGCGUAGACGGAACGGCAAGUCUGAAGUGAAAACCCGUGGCUCAACCGCGGGACUGCUUUGGAAACUGUCGAUCUAGAGUGUCGGAGAGGUAAGUGGAAUUCCUGGUGUAGCGGUGAAAUGCGUAGAUAUCAGGAAGAACACCGGAGGCGAAGGCGGCUUACUGGACGAAGACUGACGUUGAGGCUCGAAAGCGUGGGAAGCAAACAGGAUUAGAUACCCCUGUAGUC